UACGUAGGGGGCUAGCGUUGUCCGGAAUCAUUGGGCGUAAAGAGCGUGUAGGCGGUCCGGUAAGUCAGCUGUGAAAGUCCAGGGCUCAACCCUGGGAUGCCGGUGGAUACUGUCGGGCUCGAGUCCGGAAGAGGAGUGUGGAAUUCCUGGUGUAGCGGUGAAAUGCGCAGAUAUCAGGAGGAACACCAAUGGCGAAGGCAGCACUCUGGGACGUGACUGACGCUGAGACGCGAAAGCGUGGGGAGCAAACAGG
rnacentral:rRNA from 1 species